UUCAAAGAAUUCGAUAUAAAAUCUUCAAAACGAAUCCGAUAUUGAUUCUU
rnacentral:sRNA from 1 species